rnacentral:rRNA from 1 species
AGUGAACGCUGGCGGUAUGCCUAAUACAUGCAAGUCGAGCGGCAGCACAGUAAGAGCUCUCUCUUACCGUUGGCGAGUGGCGGAUGGGUGAGGAAUACAUCGGAAUCUACUUUGUCGUGGGGGAUAACGUAGGGAAACUUACGAUAAUACCGCAUAUGACCUACGGCUGAAAGCAGUGGAUCUUCGGACCUUGCGCGAUUGAAUGAGACGAUGCCGGAUUAGCUAGUUGGCGGGGUAAAGGCCCACCAAGGCGACGAUGCGUAGCUGACCUGAGAGGAUGAUCAGCCACACUGGAACUGAGACACGGUCCAGACUCCUACGGGAGGCAGCAGUGGGGAAUAUUGGGCAAUGGGCGCAAGCCUGAUCCAGCCAUGCCGCGUGAGUGAAGAAGGUCUUCGGGUUGUAAAGCCCUUUUGUUGGGGAAGAAAAGCAGCAGGUUAAUACACGGCUGUUCUGACGGUACCUAAACAGAAAGCACCGGCUAACUACGUG